GUCAAAUAAAAAAUAAAUAUAUUUAAAAUCUUAUAAAAAUGAAAUUAAAAUAAGAUACUGUAUGCAUCCCACUAAAAAAAAAUCUCUUCCUCUAUUCAUAUCUCUCUUUCUCUCACUCCAUUUCCAUACAUCUUUUGUGGGGCUAAAACACCAUGUGCACAUCACUUUCCUACUUAUAUUCAUUUGUCUCAAGAUAAUAUACAUCCCCACCACCACCAACCAUACUCUCUACCUUAUAUGCUUCUACCACUAGUACAAAAGAAACCAUUUCCUUUACCUUUCUCUCUCUCUCAA
rnacentral:lncRNA from 1 species